GACGAACGCUGGCGGCGUGCUUAACACAUGCAAGUCGAACGGAAAGGCCCUGCUUUUGUGGGGUGCUCGAGUGGCGAACGGGUGAGUAACCCGUGAGUAACCUGCCCUUGACUUUGGGAUAACUUCAGGAAACUGGGGCUAAUACCGGAUAGGAGCUCCUGCUGCAUGGUGGGGGUUGGAAAGUUUCGGCGGUUGGGGAUGGACUCGCGGCUUAUCAGCUUGUUGGUGGGGUAGUGGCUUACCAAGGCUUUGACGGGUAGCUGGCCUGAGAGGGUGACCGGCCACAUUGGGACUGAGAUACGGCCCAGACUCCUACGGGAGGCAGCAGUGGGGAAUAUUGCACAAUGGGCGGAAGCCUGAUGCAGCAACGCCGCGUGCGGGAUGACGGCCUUCGGGUUGUAAACCGCUUUCGCCUGUGACGAAGCGUGAGUGACGGUAAUGGGUAAAGAAGCACCGGCUAACUACGUG
rnacentral:rRNA from 1 species